rnacentral:lncRNA from 1 species
CGCACACUAAGAUUUUUAUGCAUUUGCUAGGUCAAGUGCUUCAUGAUCAGCUUCCAAGCUGGUUUCCUUUCUCCGGAAGUGGUGUGAGUAUGGUUUCUUGAAAGCAAGUUUGUUUCAGGAAACUCGAAGCUGAUGAGAAGCCAUUCCAAGUUUGUUGGUGAAUUGGGUUUAGUUCAAAGCAGAAGUGACGAACGUUACUUGGCCUGCUUUAUUGCCUCGUCUGCCUGCUGAAUUUGACUUGGAAUGGAGGUUUUGAGCCUGGCAAUGUAGCCAGCGUUAUAGUCAAAAUCAAAACUGGCAGAGGAGAUUUAUAAUAAUAAUAAUAAUUUUAUUGUACAAUUAAUAACUAGUAAUUAAUGUAUAUAUAAUUAUAUAAAUUUUGUUAUUAUAAGAAAAUUAUAUUAAAGACAAAUGCGAUAUGCUUAGAAAACCAUUUUAGGGUUUUUAUUCCUCAGUUCUUUAGAAUAAUCUCUAACUUAACGGGAAAUUAAUUAGUGUGUUGAGAGGUCUGAUCUUUUUUUUUUUUGAAAUGCAAAGAGAGGUCUGAUCUUGUUUAUUAUUAUUAUUUUAAUUAUAAGGUAUGCAAAGUACGUGGAUA